GCCGGAAUGGCGAAAUAGGUAUACGCAGAGGUCUCAAACACCUCGGCUCGAAAGAGCGUGUGGGUUCGAGUCCCACUUCCGGCA
rnacentral:tRNA from 2 species